rnacentral:rRNA from 1 species
AUUGAACGCUGGCGGCAGGCCUAACACAUGCAAGUCGAGCGGAGCGGCGGACGGGUGAGUAAUGCCUAGGAAUCUGCCUGGUAGUGGGGGAUAACGUCCGGAAACGGGCGCUAAUACCGCAUACUAUCAGAUGAGCCUAGGUCGGAUUAGCUAGUUGGUGGGGUAAAGGCCUACCAAGGCGACGAUCCGUAACUGGUCUGAUAGGAUGAUCAGUCACACUGGAACUGAGACACGGUCCAGACUCCUACGGGAGGCAGCAGUGGGGAAUAUUGGACAAUGGGCGAAAGCCUGAUCCAGCCAUGCAGCGUGUAGGAAGAAGGCCUUAGGAUUGUAAAGUACUUUCAGCUGGGAGGCGUGACCCGCAGAAGAAGCACCGGCUAACUCCGUGCCAGCAGCCGCGGUAAUAC